GCGAUGAUGCUGAUGAAAGGGAAGUAGCUGUCAAAGUUCCCAUUGCAGCUUCUUUAAUGGCAAUAGUUUGUGACUCCCCCAGGUUUCAAACAGAGGUUGUCUUGAUGGAUGUAUAUACAGCUGAAAGACGGAGCUGAGUGUGUGUGUGUCGUUUUUGGCUUGUGGGGAUAGUACGAACUUCCAGACAAAGACUGAAAGAGCCCCCAUCAUUGAAACUGUUAAUUUUUGGGUGCAUCAGCUGCUAAUUUUGCGAUGAUGCUGAUGAAAGGGAAGUAGCUGUCAAAGUUCCCAUUGCAGCUUCUUUAAUGGCAAUAGUUUGCGACUCCCGCACGUUUCAAACAGAGGUUGUCUUGAUGGAUGUAUUUACAGCUGAAAGACGGAGCUGAGUGUGUGUGUGUGUGUCGUUUUUGGCUUGUGGGGAUAGUACGAACUUCCAGACAAAGACUUGGCCACAUUAUUAUGUACUAGGUAUUCUGCCCUGACGCUAUGCGUCAGGUAGGUAGGACCUGGUAAUAGGAAAACAAGGGAAGGAAAAAACACUGGCCAGAGAAAAGCUAAGAAGAAGAAUGAGGAACGGGAAAAACACACCUGGU
rnacentral:lncRNA from 1 species